rnacentral:ribozyme from 1 species
UUUUUUUUUUUUUUUUUUUUUUUUUUUUUUUUUUUCUCCC